UUGGACUUUCUCACCCUGGGGCA
rnacentral:piRNA from 1 species